rnacentral:rRNA from 1 species
UACGUAGGUGGCAAGCGUUGUCCGGAUUUAUUGGGCGUAAAGCGCGCGCAGGUGGUUUCUUAAGUCUGAUGUGAAAGCCCACGGCUCAACCGUGGAGGGUCAUUGGAAACUGGGAGACUUGAGUGCAGAAGAGGAAAGUGGAAUUCCAAGUGUAGCGGUGAAAUGCGUAGAGAUCGUAAGGAAGACCAGUGGCGAAGGCGAGUUUCUGGACAGUUACUGACGCUGAGGCACGAAGGCCAGGGGAGCAAACGGG